GAAUUAUUAAACUUGCAGUUUGUUUUGAUCCCCGAUUGUUGCAAAGAAGAGGAGAAAGUGGAUUGAUAGAUGCAGGGCUGCACAAGGUACUGAAAAAGGGACAGUGCUUUGAGUGAAUGUGUUAUCCAUGUAUCUGCAAAUGAAGCAGAUCCCCCAGUUAUUAUACUCAUGAUGAGUGUGACAACUUCCAACUUCCAAGUUGUUAAUGACGGAACUCCAUUUAAAUCAGAUGCUCCUUUCCAUCUGAUGUUUUCCAGGUUUUUGUGAAAAGUUUUCUUAAAAAUGGCACCAUUCAACCACAAAUACUAUGCCAGUGGAACUGUGAUAUCAAUC